UGGAGCUUUUUGCGGGGAAACUUGCAAGUACAGUUUGGGGAGAGGCGAGCGUCGACCGGCCCUGCAGUGGUAGAACCUAGUGAACCGGGCAUACUAUUUCCCAACCUUCUGUGAAUUUUUCUUCUCUUAUGCUUUUUGCUACUUUCU
rnacentral:ncRNA from 1 species